GUGAGUAAGCGCUUUGUAUGCAAGGCCGGACAGGACUUUGCUAACCUUAAUUGAGGACUGCGCCAAGUAAAGGGCGAAGUCACUCCUCCAGUCGCUGGGGGAGUUUAUCCAUGUUCCAGAUGGGCAGGCUGCAGCGCUCAGCCAACUCAUGCAGCAGACGCCUAUCUGAGGAAGGGAGAGAGUGCCUGACUGCCGCUCUCCCUUCUACUGGAUUAAAAGCAAGUUGUAAUAAUGACUGCAUACGGCUGAACACAAAAGCACUUGCACCACACAGGCGUUUGGGAACAACAUCUUCCAGAGCCAGGCUACUGUCUGUAGCCUGUGUCCUUUGCUCUGAUAGCUCUGAGGCCGUGGGCUGUUGCCGUUCUUGCUGAUGCAAUGCAGCGAGGGCUGGGGUGAAGGAGAGUGCAUACCUGUGUGUCAGAGGUAGGAGCUCCCCUUUGGCGAUGAUGGAAAGCACAGCAAAUUCAAAUCAAAGAUGAGAGGGGGUUGCUUUGAAUUGCUGUAUUCCAGAUGUAUCUGAGGCAAUCUCCCUCUUCACUGCACGUAUCGUGGUAGCAAGAGCAAAGAUCACAGCGUAGCCCAGGUUUUCAUUUGAACAUGUCCAGGCUGGCACACAGUUGAGGUGUCCAUUUCAUCUCAAAGGUCUUUCCUGGCUUCCUUUUAAUUGAAAUUCUUCACCCAAGUCUCACAUUCCUGAUUCUUUCCACUGCAAAGCCAUCAAAACCUUCCAGGAGGCUCCUAGUUUUCCUUGCAAUUCAAUAUGAUUGAUACAGGAUGUGAAAGAUCACUGGAUGUUAUCAACUACAGAUUCUCUCUCCUUGAAGCAGCAAGCUACAGGAUAAAUUGUGGAAUUCACUACUGCACCGCAUUAUUGAAGAAAAUAUUGUAUUUUGAAGAAAGUGCUCUCAAUUGUAAUCACCAAAUAAAAGCUUCCUGUGUGAUGUGCUGUGAGGCAUGAGAGGACUGGGGUCAGUGAGGAGUCUUCCUUGGUCCUUCUGUUUUCCUGUCCUAGAGCAGCAUGGUGCUGGGAGUAUUGCAGAGCCUUCAUCCCUUGGCAAGUCUCACCCCAUCAGACCCGUUACCAAGCUGCCAGUCGUCUAUCUUUAUGAAGCAGGAGCUCAGACACUACAGAAGAUGGACCGUGGAUGCAUUUACAAUUAUAAAGUCUUAGAUGGACUGUGCAAAAUGAGAUGGGACAGGGAGUGACCACUACUAGACACCAGGCCUCACUGGAGUGACAAUUAAUUCAGAGCACCAAGAGAGAGGGAAAUAUCUGACUGGCUGGAGUGGUGGUCUGAUGUGACAUGGCAGGAAGCAUGAUACUAAUGCAAAUCGUUAGUACUUAUUAACUAAUUAAAUUGUUGUAAUGCCCAUAAGGCACUUAACACUUUCCAGGCGCAGAAGAGAGCCCAGUCUCUGCCCUUAGGAGUAGAAGGUCUAAAAAGGUAAACACAGAGGAAUGGUGGAAGAAAAACAAUUAACAUAGAGCACAAAGGGUGUAAUGAGAAGAAGCGCAGGGCUUUGCAGUUACAAUCUAUGUCUGGUUUUGUGAAGAAAGAAAGCCUAUGUGAUUACAAGAACUUUGUGUAUGGGGGAGCAUGCGUGUAUGAUAAUAUGUCUGUCUGGUGCGUGGAUAAUUUUCAACUUCAAGCAAAUUUGAUGGAGGAGAAGCUGUCUCAGAAAUACUUAGUUGUUAAAAUAAGAAGCUGAGGGAAGGGAAGGGAAGGGAAGGGAAGGGAA
ensembl:lncRNA